rnacentral:rRNA from 1 species
AGCAGCCGCGGUAAUUCCAGCUCCAAUAGCGUAUAUUAAAGUUGUUGCAGUUAAAAAGCUCGUAGUUGAAUUUCGGGGUCAGCAGGUUGGUCGUGCCUCUGGUACGCACUGGUUUCGCUGAUUCCUCCUUUCUGAAGAACUGUAAUGUCAUUAAUUUGGUGUUGCAGGGAAACAGGACUGUUACUUUGAAAAAAUUAGAGUGUUUAAAGCAAGCUAACGCUUGAAUACAUUAGCAUGGAAUAAUGAAAUAGGACGUUUGAUCCUAUUUUGUUGGUUUCUAGGAUUGACGUAAUGAUUAAUAGGGAUAGUUGGGGGCAUUAGUAUUCAAUUGUCAGAGGUGAAAUUCUUGGAUUUAUUGAAGACUAACUACUGCGAAAGCAUUUGCCAAGGAUGUUUUCAUUAAUCAAAGAACGAAAGUUAAGGGGAUCGAAGACGAUCAGAUACCGUCGUAGUCUUAACCAUAAACUAUGCCGACUAGGGAUCGGAUGAUGUUAAUUUUUAAUGACUCAUUCGGCGCCUU